rnacentral:rRNA from 1 species
AUGUUUUUGCCUCCGCGAGAGGUACGGUUGUCAUUUCGAGGGAGGCACAACCGUGCCUCUUUCGGAAAGAGAAAAAACCGUGCUCCCAAUUCAGUUUUUUCGUCUGACUUUUUUCGUAAAAAAAAGUCCCCGACAUGGCGCAUCAUAUCCGCCACAUCCAGGUCCGACGACCCGCCCUCCGCCAUCGCCUCACUUGCCAUGGGCGCGAGCUUCUUUGUCGUCGUUCGUAUUCCCGCCCCCUCAUCCAUCAGCUCCGCUAGUCCCCCUUUGAUGUCUCUCCUGACUUGCUUCGCAUACACCUCGGGGUUCAUGAUCACGUGCAUGGCCGGCACCUUAACGCCGACGCGGACGCCGACCGUCUCGUUCAAGAACUGGUCGGCCAUGUGGGGCCAUGUCAGCAGCGGCACGCCGUGGGAGAGCGACUCCAACGUGGAGUUCCACCCGCAGUGCGUCAGAAAGCCGCCCACCGCCGGGUGCGACAGGAUGCUCACCUGCGGCGCCCACCCACGGAUGACAAGGCCGCGGCCCUCCACGCGCUCGUCGAACCCGGCGUCGAGGUCGGCGGUCUCCCUAGUCACCCAGAUGAACGGGCGAUUUGAUAACUCCAGGCCGGCGGCGAGCUCCGCGACCUGCGAAGGGAGGAGGCGGGCCAUGCUGCCGAAGCUGACGUAG